rnacentral:rRNA from 1 species
UACGUAGGGUGCAAGCGUUGUCCGGAAUUAUUGGGCGUAAAGAGCUCGUAGGCGGUUCGUCGCGUCGGCUGUGAAAAUCCCGGAGCUCAACUCCGGGUCUGCAGUCGAUACGGGCGGACUCGAGUUCGGCAGGGGAGACUGGAAUUCCUGGUGUAGCGGUGAAAUGCGCAGAUAUCAGGAGGAACACCGGUGGCGAAGGCGGGUCUCUGGGCCGAUACUGACGCUGAGGAGCGAAAGCGUGGGGAGCGAACAGG